ACACGCUUCCCCACUGAGGGAAGACCAUGUGACUAUACAACAGGAAGGUAGUUGUUUACAAGCCAGGAAGAGAGCCCUCACCAGAAACCAAAUUGGCUGGCGCCUUGAUCAUGGACUCCUGGGCUCCGGAACUGUAAGAAAAUUUGUGUUGUGGAAGCCACCCAGCCCAUGGUAUUUCGUUAUGGCAGCCUGAGCAGAGGUGGUAGCUAUGUGGACAGUUUUUGGACUUCUCUAUUGUUGCCCUUCAUCACUCAGCAGUGAAGAAUGAAAAUCAACAGAGCUUUCCCCAGCCUGCUGCUUAAGCAGCUGCUAGCAGGCUGAGGCUGCCCAGCCUCAUUAACCCAUUAGAUGCUGCGUUCGCCCGGGAGUCAUUCUUAAUGAGGCUGCUGCAGAUGAGAAAACAGAAGCAAAGGCAGAAAGAUGCUACAUUGCCAGCUUUGAAGAUGGAGGGAAGAGGUCACAAACCAAGGAAGGCAAUGAGGACGUUGCACAAGACAGUCCCUGAUACCCAGAGUUUACUGCCUAAGAGAGGAUACAUCCUUCAAACCAAUAAUCUGCUAAUAGCAAGAUCCAAUAGCUUCAUGGAUAUUGAAAGAAACUGAGAAUCAAAUUUGCAUACUUCUGAGUCACUUGGAAACAAAAAACAAGUACAGUCUUAGAUUCUGAGGGAACAAAAAUUAAAAAUCACAUUAGGAAGAGAAUUCCUAAUGUAGGAACUCAUCCUGGAAGAUUCUUCAGCAAAAGUACAGACAAUAAUAAUAAUACUCCAUGAAGUUACCAUCGAUAUUGAAUGAAUUAAUGAAUGUAAAAACCUCAAAACCCUGCCUGGCCCAGAGCUUUGGAAUGGGUUUGGAUCUACCACUCAACUGCUUUAUGACUUCAGACCAGUUAUUUAAAUUCCCUGAAGCUCAGUUUCCACAUCUUUGAGUUUUUAUUAAUGACCUGCCGACAUCAUACAGUUCAUGAAAUGCUCUGGAUGUGUACAUGCUGAUGAUACGACCUCAGACCCAGCAAGAGCUCAGUGCAGCCCGGAGAGCUGUGAGCAGUGCCACAGGAGGAGAUGACUGGUGAGUGAAAUAAGCAAGAUAGGAGUUGAAGUGUACAUGAAGCAGAGUCCAAGCCUUCUCCUUCUGGAUGUUCAGCUGGAUCAUCCUGACUGCUCCCACUUUCAUCUUGGCUUUCAAAGGCAAGAGGAAAUUAUAAGGAAUAUUCUGAGUGGCUUUCAUCCAGGAGUUCUGUGGGACCCGCAACACCUGGAUGGUAGAUGCAAACAGAUAAAGAAUAUUGGUCACCAAAAGGAGUUCUUUUCAUCAUAGAUCUCUGAAGGUAGACACCUAUUUGCAGACUUCUCAAAGGGCUAUAUGGAUGUGCUCUACUUGUUGGAGGAUUGUCCAUCCACUCUUCUUCCUGUACUUACCAGGACAGAACAGCCGCAACUUCUCAGACAGUUCAUUCUUCUUUUCCUCACCUACUACCAUCUAAGAAAGGUACUUGAUGACUGUGGCUUUAGACAAGAGUCCUUUUCUUACCACAGGGUGGGCAGCACCAGCUCAUUAGAACCAUUUGUGUGACUGACUGAAGACAGCUCACCUUGGAACACUGCAGGUUGAAGAUCAUCUCUUCUUUUUUUCAUGGUGUUAAGCAUAAUAUGGCGUAAGUGACAUUUUACAAGUUCCAGAGCCUGGGACUCAAGAUGUCUUGGAGAUUCUGUCUUUGCAGUCUUAUAAUGAUGCCCUGAGAUCAUCAUUAAAGAAAGCCAGUCUGGCCUACUGAGGAUGAGAAGCUACAUAAAGGAGAAUGAAGAUUCCCCAGCCAACAGGCAAUAUCAGUGGUCAGAUAUGUGAAUAAAGCCAUGUUGAACCUCUCGGCUAGACGACCCUCCAGCAUAUGAAACCAGCAGAUGAAUAUCCCAGCCUGCCUGAAGAACUGUACAGGAAAUAAGAAAUCAUUGUUUUUUAAGCCACUGGGUUGGUGGGUGGUUUGUUACAUUGAAAUUGUUAACUAAAACAGAAAUUGGUGCAUAGAGGUCAGGUGCUGUCAUAAUAAAAAUCUAAAACAUAUACUGUUGGCUUUGGUGAUGGGAGUGAUUGGUAGCUAAAGAGGCAGUGAAACAAUGAUUAGUAGAUACUGGGAAGUUAAUAAGGAAAUUUCUAUUGGAGGGUGGAGAAAGGGCCACCCUUGUUAUAUAGUGGCCAAAGAAUCAGCAAAAUGUUGCCUGCUGCAACCUGGAAAGUAGAAACUUUUCUUAAACUCACGGAUCUGGCUGGGAGAUUUCCAGGAUGCAUGCAACAAAUGUGAAUCAACUUUGUAUAGCUGUGUAUAAUAAAGUGUGCUGUAUUUGUCCAUUCUGAUGCUGCUAAUAAAGACAUACCUGAGACUGAA
rnacentral:lncRNA from 1 species